rnacentral:rRNA from 1 species
UACGAGCCCACACGGCCGCGGGGUAGACCACGACCUCCCUCUACGAGCAUGCGCGGUCGUUCUCGGGCGGUAUCCACACCUAGGAUGUGGAAGGCAGCGUAGGGGUGCAGAGGAGGCGGAUGUCGGAUGAGGCAUUGUGCCGCUUCCUCGAGCACACCCACCUACGAGGCCGCCGCACGGGCCUCUGUUGCCCACCUCCUCGAGCACACACGGACGGGACUGCCUCUCCUCGCCUUCUACGAGGACCUCACCCUCGUGUUGCGAGCACGAGACCGCCGAGGCCGCUGCAUGUUCGUCGACGUACUCGCGUCUCUCCUCGAAUAGAAAACAAUAUAUACAAAGUACGGAGGAGCUCGAGCUGGUGGGCGCCGAUGCGUGACGAUUCCGUAACCUAGGGAAGGCCGUCUCUUUUUUUUUUGGUUGCUACUCCACCGCAAGCCCGACCCCACCAGGAGGGUGGCUUGCUUUAACAAGCACCUCAGUAGGGAGGAUGGCUUGCUCCCUCAAGCCAGACCCUCCAGGGGUCCGGCUUGCGUGCGCGCAAUAGCCGC